UCCCAGCUGGCUCAGUGAUAAAGAAUCUGCUUGCUAAGCAGGAGAUGCACAGGAGACUUGGGUUCAAUCCCUGGCUGGGUA
rnacentral:tRNA from 1 species